rnacentral:lncRNA from 1 species
CCCCUGUCCAUAAGCCUAUUGAAUUUUAUUUUCUCCCAUUCAUCUGUCUUAUAUCAAUUUGAUUCUAAGUCCAGCUAGAAGGACCAUAGGACAGAAGAAGUUCAUCAUCCCUGGCACUAUAAUGAAAAACAAAUUUUGUUUCCAGAGACUGUCUGCGACCACCUGAGCUCUCUGGACCGCCCACAGGGGCCUGCUGCACUGCCGUGGUCUCAUCAAUUUCGGCUGUUUGGUGCCCAGAUUUUAUUGGCUGUUACAUGUUUUGAACAUCAUGCGUGAACAUAAGAUUACGAGAGGGACCAACACCAG